UUAGCAUGUCAUCACAGCUUCAAAUACCAGAGUACCUAUAUAUCCUCAGAAGAUACAUGCAAGCAGAUUUGUCAAUGGUACAUGUAUAACGACAACACCCUCUCAACAGAAUCCUCAAGAUAAAGAAAUCUUAUGUGAUGAGAACCUCAAUAAAGAAGAUAGAAAAAGAUCAA